rnacentral:rRNA from 1 species
UAAGCCUGUGAAGGUGUGUCGUGAGGCAUGCUGGAGGUAUCAGAAGUGCGAAUGCUGACAUAAGUAACGAUAAAGCGGGUGAAAAGCCCGCUCGCCGGAAGACCAAGGGUUCCUGUCCAACGUUAAUCGGGGCAGGGUGAGUCGACCCCUAAGGCGAGGCCGAAAGGCGUAGUCGAUGGGAAACGGGUUAAUAUUCCCGUACUUGGUGUUACUGCGAAGGGGGGACGGAGAAGGCUAUGUUGGCCGGGCGACGGUUGUCCCGGUUUAAGCGUGUAGGUGUGUGUUCCAGGUAAAUCCGGUUCACUUUAACACUGAGGCGUGACGACGAGGCACUACGGUGCUGAAGCAACAAAUGCCCUGCUUCCAGGAAAAGCCUCUAAGCAUCAGGUAACAUCAAAUCGUACCCCAAACCGACACAGGUGGUCAGGUAGAGAAUACCAAGGCGCUUGAGAGAACUCGGGUGAAGGAACUAGGCAAAAUGGUGCCGUAACUUCGGGAGAAGGCACGCUGACACGUAGGUGAAGUGAUUUACUCAUGGAGCUGAAGUCAGUCGAAGAUACCAGCUGGCUGCAACUGUUUAUUAAAAACACAGCACUGUGCAAACACGAAAGUGGACGUAUACGGUGUGACGCCUGCCCGGUGCCGGAAGGUUAAUUGAUGGGGUCAGCGCAAGCGAAGCUCCUGAUCGAAGCCCCGGUAAACGGCGGCCGUAACUAUAACGGUCCUAAGGUAGCGAAAUUCCUUGUCGGGUAAGUUCCGACCUGCACGAAUGGCGUAAUGAUGGCCAGGCUGUCUCCACCCGAGACUCAGUGAAAUUGAACUCGCUGUGAAGAUGCAGUGUACCCGCGGCAAGACGGAAAGACCCCGUGAACCUUUACUAUAGCUUGACACUGAACAUUGAGCCUUGAUGUGUAGGAUAGGUGGGAGGCUUUGAAGUGUGGACGCCAGUCUGCAUGGAGCCGACCUUGAAAUACCACCCUUUAAUGUUUGAUGUUCUAACGUGGACCCGUGAUCCGGGUUGCGGACAGUGUCUGGUGGGUAGUUUGACUGGGGCGGUCUCCUCCUAAAGAGUAACGGAGGAGCACGAAGGUUGGCUAAUCCUGGUCGGACAUCAGGAGGUUAGUGCAAUGGCAUAAGCCAGCUUGACUGCGAGCGUGACGGCGCGAGCAGGUGCGAAAGCAGGUCAUAGUGAUCCGGUGGUUCUGAAUGGAAGGGCCAUCGCUCAACGGAUAAAAGGUACUCCGGGGAUAACAGGCUGAUACCGCCCAAGAGUUCAUAUCGACGGCGGUGUUUGGCACCUCGAUGUCGGCUCAUCACAUCCUGGGGCUGAAGUAGGUCCCAAGGGUAUGGCUGUUCGCCAUUUAAAGUGGUACGCGAGCUGGGUUUAGAACGUCGUGAGACAGUUCGGUCCCUAUCUGCCGUGGGCGCUGGAGAACUGAGGGGGGCUGCUCCUAGUACGAGAGGACCGGAGUGGACGCAUCACUGGUGUUCGGGUUGUCAUGCCAAUGGCACUGCCCGGUAGCUAAAUGCGGAAGAGAUAAGUGCUGAAAGCAUCUAAGCACGAAACUUGCCCCGAGAUGAGUUCUCCCUGAGACUUAAAGUCUCCUGAAGGA